CACUCCUGCGGGAGGCAGCAGUGGGGAAUAUUGGACAAUGGGCGCAAGCCUGAUCCAGCCAUGCCGCGUGAGUGAUGAAGGCCCUAGGGUUGUAAAGCUCUUUCACCGGUGAAGAUAAUGACGGUAACCGGAGAAGAAGCCCCGGCUAACUUCGUGCCAGCAGCCGCGGUAAUACGAAGGGGGCUAGCGUUGUUCGGAUUUACUGGGCGUAAAGCGCACGUAGGCGGACUAUUAAGUCAGGGGUGAAAUCCCGGGGCUCAACCCCGGAACUGCCUUUGAUACUGGUAGUCUUGAGUUCGAGAGAGGUGAGUGGAAUUCCGAGUGGAGAGGUGAAAUUCGUAGAUAUUCGGAGGAACACCAGUGGCGAAGGCGGCUCACUGGCUCGAUACUGACGCUGAGGUGCGAAAGCGUGGGGAGCAAACAGGAUUAGAAACCCGGGUAGUCCC
rnacentral:rRNA from 1 species